GGAUGUGAGGGCGAUCUAACUGUGACAUCUGUUACCCCGUUGUUCACCAGGGUUGAUUUGGCUGAUCUGACUGGCUAGGCGGGUAUCCCCUUCCUCCCUCACCACUCCAUGUGUAUCUGUCGCAAACCUGCGUGCUCAGUCAAAGAGGAUGACCAUCCCCAAUAGAGGAGGACUGGUCUUCAGUCAAGGGUAUACGAGUAGCUGCACUCCCCUGCUAGAAACUCCAAACAAGCUCUCAAAAAAAAAAAAAAAGGCAUGACAUGGUAUCACUGUUUGUUCAUGUGCUCUUCCAGUUUAGGCUGAAUCUCAU
ensembl:misc_RNA 7SK 7SK RNA